AUUGAACGCUGGCGGCAUGCUUUACACAUGCAAGUCGAACGGGCUGGGGGGCAACUCCAGUCAGUGGCGAACGGGUGAGUAAUACAUCGGGAACGUACCUCGUAGUGGGGGAGUAACUCGGCGAAAGCCGUGCUAAUACCGCAUAUGCUCUACGGAGGAAAGCAGGGGGACCGUAACAGGCCUUAGUGCUAUGGGAGCGGCCGAUGUCCGAUUAGCUAGUUGGU
rnacentral:rRNA from 1 species